AUGAAGGACGUGCUAAUCUGCGAUAAGCGUCGGUAAGGUGAUAUGAACCGUUAUAACCGGCGAUUUCCGAAUGGGGAAACCCAGUGUGUUUCGACACACUAUCAUUAACUGAAUCCAUAGGUUAAUGAGGCGAACCGGGGGAACUGAAACAUCUAAGUACCCCGAGGAAAAGAAAUCAACCGAGAUUCCCCCAGUAGCGGCGAGCGAACGGGGAGCAGCCCAGAGCCUGAAUCAGUAUGUGUGUUAGUGGAAGCGUCUGGAAAGGCGCGCGAUACAGGGUGACAGCCCCGUACACAAAAAUGCACAUGCUGUGAGCUCGAUGAGUAGGGCGGGACACGUGGUAUCCUGUCUGAAUAUGGGGGGACCAUCCUCCAAGGCUAAAUACUCCUGACUGACCGAUAGUGAACCAGUACCGUGAGGGAAAGGCGAAAAGAACCCCGGCGAGGGGAGUGAAAAAGAACCUGAAACCGUGUACGUACAAGCAGUGGGAGCACGCUUAGGCGUGUGACUGCGUACCUUUUGUAUAAUGGGUCAGCGACUUAUAUUCUGUAGCAAGGUUAACCGAAUAGGGGAGCCGAAGGGAAACCGAGUCUUAACUGGGCGUUAAGUUGCAGGGUAUAGACCCGAAACCCGGUGAUCUAGCCAUGGGCAGGUUGAAGGUUGGGUAACACUAACUGGAGGACCGAACCGACUAAUGUUGAAAAAUUAGCGGAUGACUUGUGGCUGGGGGUGAAAGGCCAAUCAAACCGGGAGAUAGCUGGUUCUCCCCGAAAGCUAUUUAGGUAGCGCCUCGUGAAUUCAUCUCCGGGGGUAGAGCACUGUUUCGGCAAGGGGGUCAUCCCGACUUACCAACCCGAUGCAAACUGCGAAUACCGGAGAAUGUUAUCACGGGAGACACACGGCGGGUGCUAACGUCCGUCGUGAAGAGGGAAACAACCCAGACCGCCAGCUAAGGUCCCAAAGUCAUGGUUAAGUGGGAAACGAUGUGGGAAGGCCCAGACAGCCAGGAUGUUGGCUUAGAAGCAGCCAUCAUUUAAAGAAAGCGUAAUAGCUCACUGGUCGAGUCGGCCUGCGCGGAAGAUGUAACGGGGCUAAACCAUGCAC
rnacentral:rRNA from 1 species